rnacentral:rRNA from 1 species
UACGGAGGGUGCAAGCGUUAUCCGGAUUCACUGGGUUUAAAGGGUGCGUAGGCGGGCAGGUAAGUCAGUGGUGAAAUCUCCGAGCUUAACUUGGAAACUGCCAUUGAUACUAUCUGUCUUGAAUAUUGUGGAGGUGAGCGGAAUAUGUCAUGUAGCGGUGAAAUGCUUAGAUAUGACAUAGAACACCAAUUGCGAAGGCAGCUUACUACCCGAAUAUUGACACUGAGGCACGAAAGCGUGGGGAUCAAACAGG